rnacentral:lncRNA from 1 species
CCUGUAUUUACUUAUGAAUAGGGACAAAAAUAAUGUGUAGAAUAGUUAGGUUGAUGCCUAUGAAAUUAAGACAGAGAAUAAAUUUCCAGUAACACACUGUAAAAAACUCACCAAACCGCCCAUCAUAAAACCCUAAAUACAUCUCUACCUUCUGUCCAGUUAUAAAAAGUGGCUAGGAAUUUUAGCUCAAUUUUAUUGUCUGGGAGCCAAAGGACUUUCACCCUUUGCAUUGGUAUUCUAGAUUUCAGCUGCUGAACUUUUAAAAGAAGCAUGCCUUUGCCUUGAUGAAACCCAGAGGGCAAUAAAAGCAUCAGAUCUUUGUCAAAAGAGAAAGGUAAAUCAAAAAACAGUAGAUCAAAUUCCAAUGUUGUUUAUCGUGUGUACAAUCCGUUGCCCAGGUAAAAGAAACAGGACAGGAGCAGAUAUCUGCCAAACCUCCUCAUAGCAAUUUCCAUGCCUACCCCGAGAUUUAGAUGCAUGUCACAGUGCUGGCAGACUCUGCCUGGCUAUCAGUAAGUUAUGUACACUGCAGAUAACCUAUUUCAUGAAAAUAUUAUAGAUAAGAGCUUCUAUGUAUUAUUUCCUUUCAUAGAUGCAAUCACAAAGUAAUUAGUAGCAACAGUUCUCAGAUUAACAAUAUUUAGAUAAUGUUAAAAUAAAACAGACAUGCCUAAUACUCUCAGGAAUUUAUUUAUUCACAUAACAUUGUUGCUAAAUAAGUUAAUUUACAGCACUUAUAUACUCCUAGGAGACAGUUCUGGAAACAACUAGAAGCAACAGCUGUAACUUUGUUACACAUCUCAAAGUCACCACCAUCAGCUGCGUUCUAACAACUCAGACUAACACAGCUUUUAAUCAAUUAAUUACUUAUUUUGUCAUGACUACAGGUACAGCUGCGAGGCAACAAAGCCUCAGGUUCCCCACCAGAGGUGCUCCCACCACAUGGACCCAACUGUCUGUGGUGCAGGGCAGGCCUUGCACUUCCUGUCUCACUACAGCUAGAGGGAGAAGCUCCUGGGCUCCCACUGCACAGAAAUAA